GCCAAAUCAUGUGAUUUCUUGUUGAUAAUUGUCUGGACCCCGAGUUGACGUUCAAGAUUUGGUUCAGAUGGUUUCCUCACAUCGAAGUUCAUCCUUUUAUCCAGGAGCCAGGAUAGAAAUGGAUGGAAAAAUGUGGACUUGGACGAGCUGGAAGUCUUCGUGUUGAGGGGAUUUAAGAGACCAGAAGCUGCCGAUCGCGGGGACCAGACUGGGGUGUACGAGUCUGAUGAAGGAUUUUAGUAUCUACUCGGUCGUCAUGGAAACAGCCAAGAUGCUGGGUACAACAAGGGAAAGUGAGAGAAGGAGAGAUGGAGGGU